UGCGUCUAGCAGAAUUUUAAAAAUACCACCACCUCUAAUUUUCUCCAGCAAACUAAAAGAACAAUCCUAUUAACAUAGGAACUCCUAUGCUAAAACUACUAAUACGGAUCCUCCUCCUAGCACAUCUUUUUCUCAUCCAUUUGACAAUUAACAGACCAAAAAAGGAAAGAAACACGCUCUUCACUAUUCUAACCUCACUGUAAGUCCAACCCUGGUGUGCAAAAUUAAGGUCGAAAGUCUUAAAAGGAACUCGGCAAACACGAACCCCAACUGUUUACCAAAAACAUAGCCUUUAGCCAUACAAGUAUUAAAGGUACUGCCUGCCCAGUGAAUUUUUUUAACGGCCGCGGUAUCCUA
rnacentral:rRNA from 1 species